AUACGUAGGUGGCAAGCGUUGUCCGGAGUUAUUGGGCGUAAAGCGCGCGCAGGUGGUUCCUUAAGUCUGAUGUGAAAGCCCCCGGCUCAACCGGGGAGGGUCAUUGGAAACUGGGGAACUUGAGUGCAGAAGAGGAUAGUGGAAUUCCAAGUGUAGCGGUGAAAUGCGUAGAGAUUUGGAGGAACACCAGUGGCGAAGGCGACUGUCUGGUCUGUAACUGACACUGAGGCGCGAAAGCGUGGGGAGCAAACAGGAUUAGAUACCCUGGUAGUCCACGCCGUAAACGAUGAGUGCUAAGUGUUGGGGGGUUUCCGCCCCUCAGUGCUGCAGCUAACGCAUUAAGCACUCCGCCUGGGGAGUACGGUCGCAAGACUGAAACUCAAAUGAAUUGACGGGG
rnacentral:rRNA from 1 species